rnacentral:tRNA from 1 species
GGGUGUAUAGCUUAACUGGAUAAAGCGUUAAACUUUUAAUUUACAGAUCUUAGGUUCGAAUCCUAAUACACCCA